GUUGCUGGCAUCCCUUUUCAUUGGCUCGGACUUUCACGGGCAGAUGCAGUAUCUUCCUCGACCGGCUCUUCAACAGUUUGUUCGCGGCAGCAGAUCUGAACUUUACUGUUUAACACGAUACCCAAGAGCUACCUGGGGUCUACAAGCUUCACAUCCAGGAUUUAUCUGCCUCUGUGGAGAAAAGGAGAGAAGUGGUCCUGAGAUGCCUGAUUGAGUACAUGGGGGAGAGACAGGAAGACCUCGUCAGUGUCUACCAUAAUCGUGCUGAAACAGAGGUGCACGCUGAGCUUUGCAUUUGCCCACUGAACAUUUACAUGUGCCAUCAUCCCGACACAACUGGUAUUAUCAUCGAAGGACAGCCCGUGGUCAGAGGUUUGCCAAACCUGUCAAAAGCAUGCUGCCUCCUGUUUGGACUUGCCUAUGCUGUCGACCUCAAGUAUCCAUCAAAACUGGUGUAUGGUUUUGAGAUAUAUCAGAGGCUUUUUGUUGGAUUGGACCCCAUGCGUCCUAAGCCAUCAUCCAAGUACGCAAAUCUCCUCAAAAAGUUGUCUUAGAUGAUUUCUCAAUGGAAUCUGGCUGACUUUUUUUCGCUGACUUUUUGGGACUUUGGCUUAUUCACCGUAUCCCCCAGAGUUAGAUAAGUCCAUUCAUACCCUUCUCAUCUCCAUGCGUGCC